rnacentral:rRNA from 1 species
GGGUAGUUUGACUGGGGCGGUCUCCUCCUAAAGAGUAACGGAGGAGCACGAAGGUUGGCUAAUCCUGGUCGGACAUCAGGAGGUUAGUGCAAUGGCAUAAGCCAGCUUGACUGCGAGCGUGACGGCGCGAGCAGGUGCGAAAGCAGGUCAUAGUGAUCCGGUGGUUCUGAAUGGAAGGGCCAUCGCUCAACGGAUAAAAGGUACUCCGGGGAUAACAGGCUGAUACCGCCCAAGAGUUCAUAUCGACGGCGGUGUUUGGCACCUCGAUGUCGGCUCAUCACAUCCUGGGGCUGAAGUAGGUCCCAAGGGUAUGGCUGUUCGCCAUUUAAAGUGGUACGCGAGCUGGGUUUAGAACGUCGUGAGACAGUUCGGUCCCUAUCUGCCGUGGGCGCUGGAAGAUUGAGGGGGGCUGCUCCUAGUACGAGAGGACCGGAGUGGACGCAUCACUGGUGUUCGGGUUGUCAUGCCAAUGGCACUGCCCGGUAGCUACAUGCGGAAGAGAUAAGUGCUGAAAGCAUCUAAGCACGAAACUUGCCCCGAGAUGAAUCUUCCCUGAGCCUUUAAGGCUCCUGAAGGAACGUUGAAGACGACGACGUUGAUAGGCCGGGUGUGUAAGCGCAGCGAUGCGUUGAGCUAACCGGUACUAAUGAACCGUGAGGCUUAAC